UGGGGUAUGGCUCAGUGGUAGAGCCUUUGUCUAGCAUAUGUAAAGGCCCUGAGUUUGAUCCCCAGUACCCCUC
rnacentral:tRNA from 1 species